CCCCUUUUAUUUUAAAUGUUAAUAUUAACCAGGGGUAGUAGUAGUUAAUGUUCUGAAACCCAUAGAAUUUGGCGGUAUUUUAUUCUUCUUUAGAGGAACCUGUCCUGUAAUCGAUAAUCCACGAGGGUCAUUUACUUAUUUUUGUUUUCAGUUUGUAUACCUCCGUCAUAAGAGUAUCUUUUUAGAGUGAAUAUUCUAUUGUUAUAAAGUAUAAAAUGUCAGGUCAAGGUGCAACUUAUGAAUAAGAAGAGAUGGGUUACAAUAAAUUUAUUUAUAUGGAUUAUAAUUUUUAUUUUUAUAUGAAGGUGGAUUUAAAAGUAAAAUUAAUAUCUUAUUAAUUUGAUUUUAGCUCUAAAAUAUGCACACAUCGCCCGUCGCUCUUAUUUUAAAAUAAGAUAAGUCGUAACAUAGUAGGAGUAUCGGAAGAUGUUCCUAGAA
rnacentral:rRNA from 1 species